rnacentral:rRNA from 1 species
UACGAAGGGGGCUAGCGUUGCUCGGAAUCACUGGGCGUAAAGGGCGCGUAGGCGGCCAUUCAAGUCGGGGGUGAAAGCCUGUGGCUCAACCACAGAAUUGCCUUCGAUACUGUUUGGCUUGAGUAUGGUAGAGGUUGGUGGAACUGCGAGUGUAGAGGUGAAAUUCGUAGAUAUUCGCAAGAACACCGGUGGCGAAGGCGGCCAACUGGACCAUUACUGACGCUGAGGCGCGAAAGCGUGGGGAGCAAACAG